rnacentral:rRNA from 1 species
GAUGAACGCUAGCGGGAGGCCUAACACAUGCAAGCCGAGCGGUAGAUUACUUUCGGGUAAUUGAGAGCGGCGUACGGGUGCGGAACACGUGUGCAACCUGCCCUUAUCAGGGGGAUAGCCUUUCGAAAGGAAGAUUAAUACCCCAUAAUAUAUUAUUCGGCAUCGGGUGAUAUUGAAAACUACGGUGGAUAGAGAUGGGCACGCGCAAGAUUAGCUAGUUGGUGAGGUAACGGCUCACCAAGGCGACGAUCUUUAGGGGGCCUGAGAGGGUGAUCCCCCACACUGGUACUGAGACACGGACCAGACUCCUACGGGAGGCAGCAGUGAGGAAUAUUGGACAAUGGGUGGAAGCCUGAUCCAGCCAUCCCGCGUGCAGGAAGACGGCCCUAUGGGUUGUAAACUGCUUUUAUCUGGGGAUAAACCUACUUACGUGUAAGUAGCUGAAGGUACCAGAAGAAUAAGCACCGGCUAACUCCGUGCCAGCAGCCGCGGUAAUACGGAGGGUGCAAGCGUUAUCCGGAUUUAUUGGGUUUAAAGGGUCCGUAGGCGGACUGAUAAGUCAGUGGUGAAAUCCGACAGCUUAACUGUCGAACUGCCAUUGAUACUGUUAGUCUUGAGUAAGGUUGAAGUGGCUGGAAUAAGUAGUGUAGCGGUGAAAUGCAUAGAUAUUACUUAGAACACCAAUUGCGAAGGCAGGUCACUAAGUCUUAACUGACGCUGAUGGACGAAAGCGUGGGGAGCGAACAGG